rnacentral:rRNA from 1 species
CGUUGACACUCCGUACGGGAGGCAGCAGUGGGGAAUAUUGCACAAGUGGGCGCAAGCCUGAUGCAGCCAUGCCGCGUGUUGUGAAGAACGCCGUUCGGGUUAGUAAAGCUACUUUCAGCAGUGAGGAAGGCGGAGUCGUUAAUAGCGCCUCGUUGACGUUAGCUGCAGAAGAAGCACCGGCUAACUCCGUGCCAGCAGCCGCGGUAAUACGGAGGGUGCGAGCGUUAAUCGGAAUUACUGGGCGUAAAGCGCAUGCAGGUGGUUUGUUAAGUCAGAUGUGAAAGCCCGGGGCUCAACCUCGGAAUAGCUAUUUGAAACUGGCAGACUAGAGUACUGUAGAGGGGGUAGAAUUUCAGGUGUAGCGGUGAAAUGCGUAGAGAUCUGAAGGAAUACCGGUGGCGAAGGCGGCCCCCUGGACAGAUACUGACACUCAGAUGCGAAAGCGUGGGGAGCAAACAGGAUUAGAUACCCUGGUAG